GCCUGCAUGGUGUAGUGGUUUGAAUGCUGGACUAGGAUUCUGGGGACCACUGUUCAAAUUCCUGUUUGGCCA